UACGUAGGGUGCAAGCGUUAAUCGGAAUUACUGGGCGUAAAGCGUGCGCAGGCGGUUCGGAAAGAAAGAUGUGAAAUCCCAGGGCUUAACCUUGGAACUGCAUUUUUAACUACCGGGCUAGAGUGUGUCAGAGGGGGGUGGAAUUCCACGUGUAGCAGGUGAAAUGCGUAGAUAUGAUGGAGGAACACCGAUGGCGAAGGCAGCCCCCUGGGAUAACACUGACGCUCGAUGCACGAAAGCGUGG
rnacentral:rRNA from 1 species